AAGUCGUAACAAGGUUUCCGUAGGUGAACCUGCGGAAGGAUCAUUAUUGAUUUUAUCUAUUUCUGUGGAUUUCUGGUAUAUUACAGCGUCAUUUUAUCUCAAUUAUAACUAUCAACAACGGAUCUCUUGGCUCUCA
rnacentral:misc_RNA from 1 species